rnacentral:rRNA from 1 species
CAUGCAAGUCGAACGAGAAAGCCCUUCGGGGUGAGUAAAGUGGCGAACGGGUGAGUAACACGUGGGCAACCUGCCCCUCGCAGGGGGACAACCGGAGGAAACUCCGGCUAAUACCCCGUACGCUUGUUGGAUCGCAUGGUCCGGCAAGGAAAGGUAGCUUCGGCCAUCCGGCGAGGGAUGGGCCCGCGUUGCAUUAGCUAGUUGGUGGGGUAACGGCCUACCAAGGCGACGAUGCGUAGCUGGUCUGAGAGGAUGAUCAGCCACACUGGGACUGAGACACGGCCCAGACUCCUACGGGAGGCAGCAGCCAGGAAUCUUGGGCAAUGGGCGAAAGCCUGACCCAGCAACACCGUGUGGGUGACGAAGGCCUUAGGGUCGUAAAGCCCUGUUGAUAGGGACGAAGGGCGAAGGGUUAAUAGCCCCUAGCUUGACGGUACCUUUCGAGGAAGCCCCGGCUAACUACGUGCCAGCAGCCGCGGUAAUACGUAGGGGGCGAGCGUUGUCCGGAAUUAUUGGGCGUAAAGAGCGUGUAGGCGGUUCGGUAAGUCUGCUGUGAAAUCCUGGGGCUCAACCCUGGGCGUGCAGCGGAUACUGCCGGGCUAGAGGGUGGUAGAGGCGAGUGGAAUUCCGAGUGUAGCGGUGAAAUGCGCAGAUAUUCGGAGGAACACCAGUAGCGAAAGGCGGCUCGCUGGGCCACACCUGACGCUGA